UCUAGCUUAUGUAGGAAAUUUUCCAUUGCAUCCUAUCUCUAGCUUCACGCCUUCGGUUAUUAUUCAAGCCUACGGUGUUAAUACAGUCUGUAAAAAUACCACUUUGACACACUUUCAAGAAAUGAUCCGCUGGUUAGAUGUAGCAUGAUCUUAUUAUUUAAGUAUAAAAAACUCACCAGGGACAACGACAACAUUGGCAACCCUGCACUAUGAAUUAUUAUUUUGAUGUCAUCUUAAAUUAAGUGUCUGAACAGGACUGGGUGUGCAGGCACACAUGAUUAGUUUCUCCUCCGUCUUGAACCUGAAACCUAGAUUCUAGGUUAGAAAUGUUGCCAGUCUGUUGCCAAUGACCAACGGUUGCUACGCUUUUCCAGCAAGUUCAAGUCAUUCCAGUGUUGUCCUUUUACCUUCAAAUUCGUUCAACCCAGACUUCAGAAACUGGUUUUCUGCUAAAUUUUCACAUUUUCCUGCAGCUCAUCUUUCUGAAUUUUUGCCCUUAUUGUUUUGCAUUUUUCUUCUUCUUUUCUUCUCUUUUCUUCUGUUUUCUGCCUUCAUCUUGCUCCAGGUCCUUUCAAAAAUACCUUUCACAGCAGUACCUUCCAACUGCCAGUACUUUUGCAUUUUUCUUCUCUUUUCUGUACUUUUCUGCAAGUCUGAAUGUUUUUUCAUAUGGUGUUCUUGAGCGAAUUAUAUAAAAUAUAUAUUUUCACAUUUAAAAUAAAUGUUUUAUUUUAUUUAACUUAAAGUUGAUUGAAAAAAUCCUAACAUCAAAACCCGGUGGUGAACGUAUUGUCCACGAGUAUGAUAAGACCAAAAAUCUCACAGAUGCCACCAGAAGACAGAUGAUUAACAUACUUGCUGCUGAGAUGACAGAAACACAUGGGUAAGCAUUAGACAUAUGAUUUGCGUAAUUACUGUGUAGUUAUUAUUUUUCUUAUAUGUUGUGUGAUGCCAGUUGACUUUGAUGGUUUAAUUGAAUUUCAAAUACCUUCCCUAGGACAUCCCCCCCCAAAAAAGUGUCAGGGUGAUGUAUGCACAGGGGAUUGUUGCAUUCUUUCCUUAUCUGGAAGACCCAUAUUCACAACAUGGAUAUGUAAGUAAAGGUGUAAUUGCAACAUUAUACCCAUAUUCAUUAUUUUAAAUGUUUGUGUUAAUUUAUAUAUCUAUGUUCAUAUCUAAUUACAUAGGAACAUUAUUACGAUCCAGAGAGUGGGUCUGGAUACCUGGCAUGGCGUUUGAAGACCAUACAAAGAAAAAUCGCUGAAGAAAAAGGGGCCUCAGAAAGCAAAUCCCCCUAAACUGGUGGGCCAGGCCAUGGUAGACAACCCAUCACCAGUGACCAAGUACCAACUGACGAGGAGGUGGAAGCAGCCAUUGCUGUUUUGAGAUACUCUGCUAAUGAAGACACAAUCCGUGAGAAGAUGAAAACUACUUUUGUGUAUCGCCAAGCAAUGGUCAAUAAUGCAGACAAGUCAGCAGAUGUAUUUUUGGUCUUCCCACGGUUUUUGGACACAUCAGGACUGAUAGAACAAGACUUCAGACAUGUGUUUGGUGAGGCCACAGCCAACAAAUUCCUGGAGAAGUGGCCAACCACUUUCAAAGAAAAGGUGAUGAAGGAAAGCCAGGGACUCGUACCCACCACAGAACUCUUGGAUUUGAUGCGCAAUGCUGAGUCAGCUGUUGAGACUGAGAAUGGCUGGGACUGUGACAUAUCUGCCAUCCUGCUGCUGCUACAUUUGCUACCACCAGCCCCACAAGGGCAAAAGAGGCCAGGAAAGAUGUCUGCAUCUCAAGCAGCAGAUAAGCUCAU